CCUACGGGUGACAGCAGUGAGGAAUAUUGGUCAAUGGGCGCGAGCCUGAACCAGCCAAGUCGCGUGAGGGAAGACGGUCCUAUGGAUUGUAAACCUCUUUUGUCGGGGAGCAAAAGACGCCACGCGUGGCGUUCCGAGAGUACCCGAAGAAAAAGCAUCGGCUAACUCCGUGCCAGCAGCCGCGGUAAUACGGAGGAUGGGAGCGUUAUCCGGAUUUAUUGGGUUUAAAGGGUGCGCAGGCGGAAGCUCAAGUAAGCGGUGAAAUUGGGGGGCUCAACCCGUUCGGGGCCUUGGAAACUGGUUGGCUUGAGUGAGUGAGAGGUAGGCGGAAUGCGUGGGGUAGCGGUGAAAUGCAUAGAUAUCACGAAGAACUCCGAUUGCGAAGGCAGCAUACCGGCGUGCAACUGACGCUGAGGCUCGAAAGUGUGGGUAUCAAACAGGAUUAGAUACCCUGGUAGUC
rnacentral:rRNA from 1 species